UUUGUGAGUGAAAAAGGGGCAACUCACAGGUGAGCCAAGUACGUUAGCUCUCAGGUCAAAGCAGAUUAAUAGUAGAUCCAGAGUACAGAUUGCUCUACAGGGACCUUUAUGGAAAUACUCAGGGAGUGCUUCCUGUGUGUUACAGCUCAGGAAUGAUGAGUGUUUUUUUAUGUUUUUACGUCCUACUUGAAUGUAAUCAGUGCCUAGAAAAUGGAAAACAUUGAAAGGAAAAUCAAUGUUACUCAAGAAUGGAAGGCAGGAAAGGAAUGAGGAUAAGACAUGGAAUAGUGCUCAGAGAGAUGGGAUUAAAUGGUCUGCACUGUGCCACUACAGGAAAAUAAAGGAUGUUAUCUCACAUUAAUGUACAACUUUAUAUAAUUUUUGAUUUACAUAAUAACAUAGAUGUUGCUUUCAAAACUGAGUAGAAAUCCUGUAUAGCCAUAAACUAUAUUGGGAGGCCAGAUAGGGCAAUCCUCAAAGGUGUCAGAAGAGUUCUCUUAGGGAAUUUCUGAACCUCCCAUUAAUUCUGUCACAAUCUCAAAUAAUGUGUCACAAAAGCCUUUCCUCCAAUCAUAGUAAUGAUGUUGAGAGCCAUCAGCUUUCUGUGCAAUAAUACUAAGUAUUGUUUAAUCGAUUAUGUUAUCAGUCAUUAUAAAAUGUCAUUUAUUUUAAUGCCUCUAAAAAGUCAUCAUAUUUAAGACUUGCAGGAGAUUCUGAAUAAUAUUCAGAGACAAAAUUAAAAUUCCUAUUUAAUAAAAAAAUAUUUGUUGCAACUGCUGUUAUACUAUUUCAAUGCCAAAUUUAAAGAAUUAUCUUGCCUGCACUGGUUUGCUUGGUGAUAGAGCUAUGUGCAUGUGCAAAAUUUGUUUCUAGCAAGCAGUUUUUAACAGAUAAACAUAAAAUAGAAAUAUAGUAAACUGCAAAUUUUUCAGGUAAUUCUGAUUUUAAGAUCUAUUGUUGAAAAUUGAAAUUUAACUAGCUGAACACUAAUUGACCAUUUAUUAGAAAUAUACACCUUCAUUUAAAUUUCAGAUGAUUUGUGGGCCAUAAUUUCAGUCAGAAGAUAGAAAAAAUAAAUCACACUAUUUUCAGAACAUUUUUGAUUUAAUCUUCUGAGAAUUAUCAGCCAUAUUUAUAGAUAGCAUUUCACUUGAUUUAUUAAAUGAUUCUACAGAUAGUGUUUUACAGAGCAUAAAAUCAUGGAGCUUAACACUAAGGUGACCUUCAUCCGAAAUGUGCAUACGAAAAUGAUCAGUUUAUGUAAGGAUAGCCAUUAUUAUUGUUUAGCUUCAUGAAAUAAUAAUUUCCAUUUAUGCAACAACCACUGCUGGUCUGCUCAAAUAAUUUACCUAUAGUGUAUCUUCCAGGUUUAGUUGGUAGCAAACCCAAAAAUCUAAAGCAUGCAAGCAUGGUCAUAUGGGUUUUAUGAUUUGAUUAUACAAUAUU